rnacentral:rRNA from 1 species
AGAGUUUGAUCAUGGCUCAGAUUGAACGCUGGCGGCAGGCCUAACACAUGCAAGUCGAACGGUAACAGGAAGCAGCUUGCUGCUUUGCUGACGAGUGGCGGACGGGUGAGUAAUGUCUGGGAAACUGCCUGAUGGAGGGGGAUAACUACUGGAAACGGUGGCUAAUACCGCAUAACGUCGCAAGACCAAAGAGGGGGACCUUCGGGCCUCUUGCCAUCAGAUGUGCCCAGAUGGGAUUAGCUUGUUGGUGAGGUAACGGCUCACCAAGGCGACGAUCCCUAGCUGGUCUGAGAGGAUGACCAGCCACACUGGAACUGAGACACGGUCCAGACUCCUACGGGAGGCAGCAGUGGGGAAUAUUGCACAAUGGGCGCAAGCCUGAUGCAGCCAUGCCGCGUGUAUGAAGAAGGCCUUCGGGUUGUAAAGUACUUUCAGCGGGGAGGAAGGUGUUGUGGUUAAUAACCGCAGCAAUUGACGUUACCCGCAGAAGAAGCACCGGCUAACUCCGUGCCAGCAGCCGCGGUAAUACGGAGGGUGCAAGCGUUAAUCGGAAUUACUGGGCGUAAAGCGCACGCAGGCGGUCUGUCAAGUCGGAUGUGAAAUCCCCGGGCUCAACCUGGGAACUGCAUUCGAAACUGGCAGGCUUGAGUCUUGUAGAGGGGGGUAGAAUUCCAGGUGUAGCGGUGAAAUGCGUAGAGAUCUGGAGGAAUACCGGUGGCGAAGGCGGCCCCCUGGACAAAGACUGACGCUCAGGUGCGAAAGCGUGGGGAGCAAACAGGAUUAGAUACCCUGGUAGUCCACGCCGUAAACGAUGUCUACUUGGAGGUUGUGCCCUUGAGGCGUGGCUUCCGGAGCUAACGCGUUAAGUAGACCGCCUGGGGAGUACGGCCGCAAGGUUAAAACUCAAAUGAAUUGACGGGGGCCCGCACAAGCGGUGGAGCAUGUGGUUUAAUUCGAUGCAACGCGAAGAACCUUACCUGGUCUUGACAUCCACAGAACUUUCCAGAGAUGGACUGGUGCCUUCGGGAACCGUGAGACAGGUGCUGCAUGGCUGUCGUCAGCUCGUGUUGUGAAAUGUUGGGUUAAGUCCCGCAACGAGCGCAACCCUUAUCCUUUGUUGCCAGCGAUUAGGUCGGGAACUCAAAGGAGACUGCCAGUGAUAAACUGGAGGAAGGUGGGGAUGACGUCAAGUCAUCAUGGCCCUUACGACCAGGGCUACACACGUGCUACAAUGGCGCAUACAAAGAGAAGCGACCUCGCGAGAGCAAGCGGACCUCAUAAAGUGCGUCGUAGUCCGGAUUGGAGUCUGCAACUCGACUCCAUGAAGUCGGAAUCGCUAGUAAUCGUGGAUCAGAAUGCCACGGUGAAUACGUUCCCGGGCCUUGUACACACCGCCCGUCACACCAUGGGAGUGGGUUGCAAAAGAAGUAGGUAGCUUAACCUUCGGGAGAGCGCUUACCACUUUGUGAUUCAUGACUGGGGUGAAGUCGUAACAAGGUAACCGUAGGGGAACCUGCGGUUGGAUCACCUCCUU